UACAGAGGGUGCGAGCGUUAAUCGGAAUUACUGGGCGUAAAGCGCACGUAGGUGGCGACGUAAGUCGGGCGUGAAAGCCCCGGGCUCAACCUGGGAAUUGCAUUCGAGACUGCAUUGCUGGAGUACGGAAGAGGAAGGCGGAAUUCCCGGUGUAGCGGUGAAAUGCGUAGAUAUCGGGAGGAACAUCAGUGGCGAAGGCGGCCUUCUGGUCCAGUACUGACACUCAAGUGCGAAAGCGUGGGGAGCAAACAGG
rnacentral:rRNA from 1 species